rnacentral:rRNA from 1 species
UUAAAUUGAAGAGUUUGAUCAUGGCUCAGAUUGAACGCUGGCGGCAGGCUUAACACAUGCAAGUCGAACGGUAACAUGAGUGCUUGCACUUGAUGACGAGUGGCGGACGGG